GCUGACUUGUCCUGCCUUGCAGCCCUUUUGGAAGAAAGAGCAGACCCAACUGGCACAUGCUGUAGUCACAACUGAGGCAAGCUUCUCUGAGCUCAGACAUACUUCAGCCCAUGGAGAAGACAAACUGCAGAUGGAUUAAUAUUGCACUGUGAAGGUGGACAUCUGAGGAUACUGUCACUAAUAACAUGAAUGAAGAAGGAGAAAUUCAUUCCUUUGCCCAGACUGAGAAAAGGAAGUGCAAGUAAGUGAACAAGGCAAGUAAAGAGUUACAGAUAAAUAAAAGACAUUUUUAUUUA
rnacentral:lncRNA from 14 species